AUCGCUUCUCAGCCUUUUGGCUAAGAUCAAGUGUAGUAUGUGUUCUUAUGAGUUUAAUGUACUGUAUUGUAACUGUCUAUUUGUCUGUCUUCUUCAACAGGAUUAUGAGUUCCUUUUUGACAAGGUUUGUGUCUUUAUCUCUGCAUCCUCCAGUAGUUAGCAUGGCAUCUGGUAGAUACAUUAGGCU